UGGGGAAUCUUGCGCAAUGGGCGAAAGCCUGACGCAGCCACGCCGCGUGAGUGAUGAAGGCCUUAGGGUUGUAAAGCUCUUUUACCAGGGAUGAUAAUGACAGUACCUGGAGAAUAAGCUCCGGCUAACUCCGUGCCAGCAGCCGCGGUAAUACGGAGGGAGCUAGCGUUGUUCGGAAUUACUGGGCGUAAAGCGCACGUAGGCGGCGAUUCAAGUCAGAGGUGAAAGCCCGGGGCUCAACCCCGGAACUGCCUUUGAAACUAGAUUGCUAGAAUCCUGGAGAGGUGAGUGGAAUUCCGAGUGUAAGGUGAAAUUCGUAGAUAUUCGGAAGAACACCAGUGGCGAAGGCGACUCACUGGACAGGUAUUGACGCUGAGGUGCGAAAGCGUGGGGGAGCAAACAGGAUUAGAUACCCUGGUAGUCCACGCCGUAAAACCGAUGAUAACUAGCUGUCCGGGCUCAUAGAGCUUGGGUGGCGCAGCUAACGCAUUAAGUUAUCCGCCU
rnacentral:rRNA from 1 species